AUUGAACGCUGGCGGCAGGCCUAACACAUGCAAGUCGAACGAGUGGCGGACGGGUGAGUCAUGUCUGGGAAACUGCCCGAUGGAGGGGGAUAACUACUGGAAACGGUAGCUAAUACCGCAUACCAUCGGAUGUGCCUAGAUUGGACUAGCUUGUAGGUGAGGGAACGGCUCAACUAGGCGACGAUCCCUAGCCGGACUGAGAGGAGGAUCAGCCACACUGGAACUGAGACACGGUCCAGACUCCGACGGGAGCCAGCAGUGGGGAAUAUUGGACAAUGGGCGAAAGCCUGAUGCAGCCAUGCCGCGUGUGUGAAGAAGGCCUUCGGGUUGUAAAGUACUUUCAGCGGGGAGGCGUUACCCACAGAAUAAGCACCGGCUAACUCCGUGCCAGCAGCCGCGGUAAUAC
rnacentral:rRNA from 1 species